rnacentral:rRNA from 1 species
CAGCCGCCACGGGAAAACGUAGGGUGCAAGCGUUGUCCGGAAUUAUUGGGCGUAAAGAGCUCGUAGGCGGUUUGCUACGUCGGAUGUGAAACCCUGAGGCUCAACCUCAGGCCUGCAUACGAUACGGGCUAACUAGAGUGUGGUAGGGGAGACUGGAAUUCCUGGUGUAGCGGUGAAAUGCGCAGAUAUCAGGAGGAACACCGGUGGCGAAGGCGGGUCUCUGGGCCAUUACUGACGCUGAGGAGCGAAAGCGUGGGGAGCAAACAGGAUUAGAUACCCCGGUAGUCCCUGUCUCUUAUAC